GAGGAAUAUUGGGCAAUGGGCGCAAGCCUGACCCAGCCAUGCCGCGUGAAGGAUGAAUGCCCUAUGGGUUGUAAACUUCUUUUGUACGGGACGAAUCUCUCGAACGUGUUCGGGACUGACUGUACCGUACGAAUAAGCAUCGGCUAACUCCGUGCCAGCAGCCGCGGUAAUACGGAGGAUGCAAGCGUUAUCCGGAUUCAUUGGGUUUAAAGGGUGCGUAGGCGGAAGAAUAAGUCAGUGGUGAAAGCCUGCGGCUUAACCGUAGAAUUGCCAUUGAUACUGUUUUUCUUGAGUAUAGUUGAAGUGGGCGGAAUGUGUAAUGUAGCGGUGAAAUGCUUAGAUAUUACACAGAACACCAAUUGCGAAGGCAGCUCACUAAGCUGUUACUGACGCUGAGGCACGAAAGCGUGGGGAGCAAAC
rnacentral:rRNA from 1 species